CCUGUGGGAAGCCUGGACACUUUUCCAAGGAAUGCCCUGAACGUGCAGACCGCAGAGGGAAAACAAGCUCCAAGACUGUCAACAUGGUGACCGCUAGCAAUACUGAUGGGUCGCAAGGGAUUCUUCCGUCCUAAUGGGGAAUGGGUCACAUGCUUCUGUUCGUGGCAUUGGCACGGUGGAUCUGAAGUUUACUUCG